AUGAAGAGAAAGUUGGGGUUGAUUGCUUCUCUUUUGCUCCUCUCGUUGGUGUUUUCAUCCAAUGCAAUUUCCCUUCAGCCACACAGUUUCCGCAAACUCAAAGAAGCUAUCGAAACACCAUGUAGUGUGUCGCCAUCUGCUGGACAAGCAACUACCAAUCCGAUGACCACGGUCAAAGGAAAACCUUGUAGAAAUAUGUUCUCUAUGGGCAAAGGCACUUAGCUUUUAAUGGUGAACAUAUACAAUCAAUAUGAUACGCAUAUGUUUGUUUCUUCCUUUUUUUAGUCAACCAUUUGCUUGUUUAUUUUCUUGUUUCUUAUAUACAUUUUGUUGACAUCAACAGAAUUAUAUUGAUAAUGUGAAGUCCUUAUAUAUGGAGGAAACGUGAGAUACAAGACGGAAUGAAAAAACUCAUAUACAUUGUAUAUC